rnacentral:rRNA from 1 species
AUGAGUUUACCAGGGAAGAAUCCUCCGGCGGUGGCCGGAGGAAUGCAGCAAUGGCUCUCAUCCAUCGUUAUGUCAGCGGUGGCUCUGUUGCUGACCCUGGGGCCUACACAUGCUCAAGGUAGCUGUGAUAUCUUUCGUGGGAACUGGGUUCCUGAUUCUUCUGGGCCACUGUACACGAGCAGCUCUUGCCCUCUGAUCAUACGCGCGGAGAACUGCCAGGCGAAUGGGCGGCCGGACAAGGGGUAUGAGAACUGGAGAUGGAAGCCCGAGCGGUGCGCUCUCCCGCGCUUUGACGCAAGGAAGUUCCUGAAGCUGAUGAGGGGCAAGACACUUGCUUUCGCUGGGGAUUCGAUUGCUCAGAACCAGAUGGAGUCUCUCCUUUGCAUCCUAUGGCAGGUGGACACCCCAAUAAACCUUAGCGAUCGUAGGAUGAGUAGGUGGAUAUUCAAUUCGACCUCAAUAACUAUUAUCCGCAUAUGGUCUCCUUGGCUAUUAUACAAUUCAAAAGAAGCUGUGGGAAUUGCCCCCGAGGGUCUUAAUAAGGUUUUCCUCGAUAUCACAGAUAAGACGUUGAUGGAAUUUCUCCCAGGUUUUGAUGUCCUGGUCCUCUCUUUUGGACAUUGGUUUGUCACACCAUCGGCCUAUAUCCUGAAUGGCACAGUCGUUGGAGGGCAGAGCUGGUGGCCUCUUGAAGCUGGAAAGAUGCAGAUGAACAACAUUGAUGCUUUUGGUGCAUCCACCGAGACUUGCCUAACUGCUGUGGCUACUAACCCAAAUUUCAAAGGUAUAGCUAUUUUGAGCACAUACUCACCGGACCAUUACGAACGCGGGGCAUGGAAUGUUGGUGGAUCAUGCACUGGGAAGGUUAACCCCUUGGAUAAGGCGAUGAGGGAUGUAUUCAUAGAUGCAAUGUAUGCAAAACAAGUUGCGGGCUUUAGAAAGGUAGUCAAGAAUUCUGGAGAACAAGGAUCCAAGUUGAAACUAAUGAGCAUCACAGAACCCUUUGCCUUAAGGGUUGAUGGGCAUCCUGGACCAUACACAAAUCUGGACCCAAACAAGAAGACUCAAAGAGGGCCGGAUGGAAGGCCUCCACCUCAGGAUUGUCUACAUUGGUGCAUGCCAGGACCUAUAGAUACAUGGAACGAGAUGCUAUUUGAGACCAUACGAAGAUAA